rnacentral:rRNA from 1 species
AUUGAACGCUGGCGGCAGGCCUAACACAUGCAAGUCGAACGGUAGCACAGAGAGCUUGCUCUCGGGUGACGAGUGGCGGACGGGUGAGUAAUGUCUGGGAAACUGUCUGAUGGAGGGGGAUAACUACUGGAAACGGUAGCUAAUACCGCAUAAUGUCGCAAGACCAAAGAGGGGGACCUUCGGGCCUCUUGCCAUCGGAUGUGCCCAGAUGGGAUUAGCUUGUUGGUGAGGUAAAGGCUCACCAAGGCGACGAUCCCUAGCUGGUCUGAGAGGAUGACCAGCCACACUGGAACUGAGACACGGUCCAGACUCCUACGGGAGGCAGCAGUGGGGAAUAUUGCACAAUGGGCGCAAGCCUGAUGCAGCCAUGCCGCGUGUGUGAAGAAGGCCUUCGGGUUGUAAAGCACUUUCAGCGGGGAGGAAGGCGGUGAGUUUAAUAAGCUCACCGAUUGACGUCACCCGCAGAAGAAGCACUGGCUAACUCCGUGCCAGCAGCCGCAGUAA